rnacentral:lncRNA from 1 species
UAGGACAGCAUCCAAACAUGAGCUCUUUUGCAAUGACAGGAAAGUGAAAAUUAUGAAUACAGUGUGUGCUAGGCAUGCAGCUGUGUCAUGACAGGGUAGAAAAUAUAUAGCAACUAGCCCUGUCUCUGGAGAAAAUGAAGCACUCCAAGAGGUGAUGUUUAUGUGACAUACAGCUGUUUAGGCCUCCCCUUGCAGGGGAGCAUGGCAAGUUUUCUCAAUAGAUGCUGAGUGGCAUCUAUUUGUGUUUUUUGUGUUUUUUGGCUUUCUCUGGUGAGUCCUUUAAGGAGUUUUACAAGUAAUGAAAUAGAUCUCAUGACACUCAAGUGUUGGCAUCUUACACUGCCAACACCUUCACUGAUUGCAGUGAGGUUUAUUCCAAGGGAAGGACAGUCCAAUCUCUCUAUACAAAUCUCUACUGUCAUGAACUCCAGGGUUAUAGAGCAUUAUGAAUCCCUUUUUAUCAUAAAGUGUUGAAUGUCCUUGUUUUUCUGUAUUAACUGUCUCCUUUCAGGUAAGUACAGCGUGUAGAAUUUGUUCUUCAAAGUGCUUGUGCUUCUUUGCAAGAAGAUUGUUCCAUGAGCAAUUCAAUAAGCAGUAAAAAUGUUUGACAAAGGUCCCCCUCAGAAUGUGCUUUUAUACCCAGAUAGAUUUUGUGGUGUAAUGAACACGUUUAAUAGUGAAAAUAUUUUUUUUUCAAAAUCUGUCCUAAUAGACUGCUGUAGUUUGGUAUAUUUGGGCUUUUAUUAGGGAAAUAACACAACCUAAGGGAGUUGUUUUUAAGGACAAGUCUAAGAAAAAAAAGCUUCAUGGUAUGACACAAUAUGUGCUGUAUUAACUGGGGAGAGCCCUGUGGACAUCACUGGCUCUCAGCCUGGGAUCUGGCAGUCUUUCAUCUGAUUUAAUUUUGACCUUCAUUUCCUGUAGGAAUGCUAAGGGAUUUUUCUUUCAUCCACUGGAACACCCGGAAAAGAAAUUACCCAUCAGUCAGGAAUGUUUAUUCCUUCAGCUCUGAGUCCAACAUGAAUCAAACUAUGACACAACUGGCUGCUUUUCUGUCUACUUUUAUGAUGAGAUUUGAUACUUUGCAGGUUUUCCACGGGCAGGUGACAGCGCUGAGGACUCGUUCUGCUGCCUUGCGACACCGGCAACACGAGGCCCAGUGA